CUUCAAACACAACUAGAUCCAUUCAUUAAUGAAGAGUAUUCCUCGGAGAAAGGAACAUCUCGCCUUCUCCUACGACGUAGUCCAACAAGAAGACCACUUCUUGCUCUUGGGAUCCGUAUGAUACGCACCGUAUCUUGGAAUAAGUAGAGGUCUUAUAACGUGGUGCUGACUCACUACGUCUCUACUAUCAAUGUUCGCUUAUUUUGGGCUUCACCUAGUGCUUAAUGGCUUUGUUAUUAAAAUAAUUUGUUAGCACUUAUUUAUCACAAGAGCCAGGUACUAGUUGUUGCGUCGAAAUGUCGAAUCUUUUCUCAUCAUUUUGAGUAUCGUCUCUUCAUAUUUAACAAAUUCAUAUUAAUAUUCAUUUAUAAAAAUUUAGUAAGUGUGGUCUUCAUUUCCUAUUUGAAUUCCUUUAUUGUAUUUUUUUUUUUAACAAGAAAUAAAAUGUAUUAAAUUU
rnacentral:lncRNA from 1 species